rfam:Rattus norvegicus chromosome 4, whole genome shotgun sequence.
ACAAAGGCCCUUUUCAGGGCCCCCAAACCAUCAAAAAUGAGCUGU